rnacentral:rRNA from 1 species
UWGAGUUUGAUCMUGGCUCAGAUUGAACGCUGGCGGCAGGCCUAACACAUGCAAGUCGAGCGGAAACGAUGGAAGCUUGCUUCCAGGCGUCGAGCGGCGGACGGGUGAGUAAUGCAUGGGAAUCUGCCCGAUAGUGGGGGAUAACCUGGGGAAACCCAGGCUAAUACCGCAUACGUCCUACGGGAGAAAGCAGGGGAUCUUCGGACCUUGCGCUAUCGGAUGAGCCCAUGUCGGAUUAGCUUGUUGGUGAGGUAAUGGCUCACCAAGGCGACGAUCCGUAGCUGGUCUGAGAGGAUGAUCAGCCACAUCGGGACUGAGACACGGCCCGAACUCCUACGGGAGGCAGCAGUGGGGAAUAUUGGACAAUGGGCGAAAGCCUGAUCCAGCCAUGCCGCGUGUGUGAAGAAGGCCCUCGGGUUGUAAAGCACUUUCAGUGGGGAAGAAAGCCUUGGGAUUAAUACUCCCGAGGAAGGACAUC